rnacentral:lncRNA from 1 species
CCGGGACGCGCCCGCCCGCAGGUGAGGCGCGCUCGGGGCACCCCGCCGCCCCCUCCUCCGCCGCGGCUUCCUUCCGGGCCGGCAGAGGCCAGGGCUCAGGUUUGGGGACCGCUCCGCCGCGGGGCACGUGGGGCCUAAGUAUCCCCGCCCACCCCGGGAGCCCAGACUCCGGAGCGCCGGGCCUGAGCUUUCCGCAGAGGGGCUCGGCAGCGGAGCCCUGUCCUGCUCCCAGGAGGCGGGUGGCGGUGGCCCGGUGGGCACUACACACGUGGAACUGGAAGAGUUCCUGAGACCCUGCUUCGAAGAGAUUUCCCGUGCACAUUCUACCCGUUUGAGAUGUGUUUGAGUUCACAAACUGUCCCUUAAAGAUGCGAAUGCUCCUUUGAAUAGUUAAACCUAUCAGUCUCUUACACCAUAGUAUAAAUUAUUUUCCUUGCAUUUGACAGAACACCGUGCUAAGAUCAACUACAGGCUUUGGGAAUUUAAAUAAAGGAAGAGGAAAGAGAUAGAAUGUUUUGGGACAAAAGGGACAAAAGCAUGUGUGGGAAGGCAUCACCUUGCAUCCCUCGGGGAAUGGAUCCAUUAGAGAAUCGAUCCUGCCACUGCUGUUUCUACCGUUCCCUCACACUCUGUCUGAAAAGGCGCCACCUUCAGCCCAUACUUCGCAGGGCUUUGAUUCCAAAGGUAGGGGACCUAACAUCAGAUAUAGGAGUUUGGUAAUUUAAAUAAAGCAAAACUUUGCC